rnacentral:rRNA from 1 species
AACGAACGCUGGCGGCAGGCCUAACACAUGCAAGUCGAACGCCCCGCAAGGGGAGUGGCAGACGGGUGAGUAACACGUGGGAACGUACCCUUCGGUUCGGAAUAACUCAGGGAAACUUGAGCUAAUACCGGAUACGUCCGAGAGGAGAAAGAUUUAUCGCCGAAGGAUCGGCCCGCGUCUGAUUAGCUUGUUGGUGAGGUAACGGCUCACCAAGGCGACGAUCAGUAGCUGGUCUGAGAGGAUGAUCAGCCACACUGGGACUGAGACACGGCCCAGACUCCUACGGGAGGCAGCAGUGGGGAAUAUUGGACCAUGGGCGAAAGCCUGAUCCAGCCAUGCCGCGUGAGUGAUGAAGGCCCUAGGGUUGUAAAGCUCUUUUACCUGGGAAGAUAAUGACUGUACCAGGAGAAUAAGCCCCGGCUAACUUCGUGCCAGCCGCCGCAGUAAUAC